rnacentral:rRNA from 1 species
UACGAAGGGGGCUAGCGUUGCUCGGAAUCACUGGGCGUAAAGGGUGCGUAGGCGGGUCUUUUAAGUCAGGGGUGAAAUCCUGGAGCUCAACUCCAGAACUGCCUUUGAUACUGAGGAUCUUGAGUACGGGAGAGGUGAGUGGAACUGCGAGUGUAGAGGUGAAAUUCGUAGAUAUUCGCAAGAACACCAGUGGCGAAGGCGGCUCACUGGCCCGGUACUGACGCUGAGGCACGAAAGCGUGGGGAGCAACAGG